rnacentral:ncRNA from 1 species
GACGCAUCAUUCUUCAAAUUUCUUUUCUGCCCUAUCCCCUAUCAACUUCUAUCAACUUUCUCAACUUUCGAUGGUAGGAUAGGGGCCUACCAUGGUGGUGACGGGUGACGGAGAAUUAGGGUUCGAUUCCCGCGAGGGAGCCUGAGAAACGGCUACCCCCACCCAGGAAGGCAGCAGGCGCGGCAAAUACCCCAUCCUGACACGGGGAG